AUAGGCUAUGUAUUAAAUGUAAUGCAGUAUGCUAAUGUUUUUUAAGAAGUUAUGACAGUUUAUUUAUUUAUUUUUGCAUUUAUAUUUAUACUAAAUGUUUGGGCUACUGUUUUUGAUAACGCAUACAUAAUAGGUUUGUAGAAAAUCAACAACAACAAAAAAAAAAUCUAUAAAUAUUUUCAUAAUUUUUCAGGAAUUGUUGAUUUCUUUUUCAACACUUGUAAGUCUGAACCAGAAUAUCAAGAUAUUUUAUUAUUUUGUAAAAAAGUACCACCAUGUUAUAUGUAUAAUAAAAUUUGAGUAUGACAAACACAAAUCCCUUCUAUUAUUUUAUCCCUUGAGGUAGCCCUCGCACACAAAAAGGUUGGUUGGAGGAUGGAGACCCCUGGUAUAUAACUAUGUUUUAUAAUUAUAUGUUUGUGUAAUUUGGGGUUUCUUCCUGCAGUGACACUUUUGUGUGUGAGGCCCCAUCCAUCCUCCCCUCAAUACGCUGCAGUCGUCCUGUCCCUUUUGCAGAAAAGCAUCCAUAAAGAAUGAUGUUUCCAGCUCCAUGCUUCACAGUUUGGAUGGUGUUCUUGAGGUUGCACUCAUCCUUAGUCUUCCUCCAAACACAACAAGUAGAGUUUAGACCAAAAAGCUCUAUUUUCAUCUCAUCAGACCACAUGACCUUCUCCCAUGAAUGAGUAUGUGGACAAGUGUCUUUUAUACAGGUAAGGAGUUCAAACAGGUGCAGUUAAUAAAAAGUGGAGAAAAGGAGGGCUUCCUGUGAGAGCUGGAAUUCUUACUGGUUGAUAGGUGAUCAAAUGCUUAUGUCAUAAACAAUAAACUGCAAAAAUAUAUAUUUUUAAAAUAUACAAUGUGAUUUUCUGGAUUGUUAUUUAAGAUUCUGUCAUUAUAGUAGAAGAGUAUACCUAAGAUAAAAAUGACAGGCUCUUACGUGGUUUGUAAGUGGGAACCUGCACAAUCCCCAGUGUAUCAAAUGCUUUUCCUCCUCACUGUAGAUAAAUGAGGGGAACACUUAUUUUAAAAGUGCCAUGUUGACACUGUUUUGGAGUUGCAAGACUGAGUUCAAAUGACUGCAAACAAUCCCAUAUGAUACUUCAUCUGGUGCCCACUCUAAAGCAAAACUAUAUUCUUUCCAGUUAUUAAUUUAAAAUAACUUUCAUUUUAUCUGUAAUCGAAUGUGUUCCAUCCUACAGUUCCUCCUUUAAAACCCUUGCCUCACACUUGAAUUGCCAGGCAGGAGUUUAUUUUACUAACGUGAUUGUUUCUUUAAUCAACAUGACAAAAUAGUUUUGUCUUUUUUAUUUAUAAUACAGAGCUUAACUGUAGAGACCUACAUUUCGGUUGGAUAAAGGAGGGUACAUAAAUGAACCAAUAUCAAAAGCGUAUGUUGGUUGAUUGUUGUGGGUUUUUCCAUCUUCACACACACACACACUCGAGACCGGUGUAUGUCCUGGUUAAGACUAUCCGGGUCCCCACAUGGUCAACCCCUCCCCCACACCUAUACCCGCGCGCGCGUCUGGAGCUAAUGAUUGCAUCUCGUGACUCACUCACUGGACGAGCAGGAGCUGCAAACGCAGCAUCAAUCAGCGUGUUCGUUCUCCAAGGUAAGCUAAACACUUUUAUUUCAAAUGUAAUUCGUGUGUUAACAUCAUAACAAAUGCCACUACCAUAUAUUAUGGAGAAUGUUAAUAACAAAGCAGGCCUUGCUAGCGAUAAUUUUAACUUUGCAGUUUUCUGUCGAGUCGGGUUUAGUCAGUAUAAUGUUAGAUAACGUUAGUUUGCUAACGCGCCUAUACAUGUGCAAUGUAAAUGUAAACUAUUUAGCUAACUACCACUACCAAGCUAACCGACUUAUUAGCUAGGCACGAUUGAAGCUUAAUGCAUGCCAUACAUUUUAUUUAUUUAUUUAUUUAUUUAUUUUUGGGUGUGUUGUAUAAUUUAAUCACAAAUGUGAUUGAUAAUCGAUAAAUGUAUGUUUUUUAUGAUAUGCACACUACAGUAGUUAGCUUGUAUGUUAGGAUGGACUACUAUGACAAUUAGCAAGUUAAAUAGAGUAAGUAUAGGAUCAGUUGUCAUAGCACUUCCGCACUACAGCGUGGUUAGGUUGUAUGGCGGGAGAAAAGCUGCCAUCAGGGGUAACUUAGGUUUUCACUCAUGGAGAGAAGAACUUGGACCAAUCCAGGAUGCGGAGUACCAUAUCCAAGCGGGGAUUGAUAAACCAUGUCUCCAGCGUUUUAUCAAUAAUUUUAAAGUUGCAGGCCAGGAUUGACAAAUUAAAAACACCACAAUCGGUGUGAAACUCGGUAUGAAUCUACGGCUGAGAAGCGAAAUGCUCUUCAAAGACAGCGAACCUUACUCCUACUGCAAUUGGCAAACUUGGAUAAAAUGCUGGGCCCAGAAUCACAUCCAGUCACUUAAACAGCAGAAGAUUCUGUGAUACCCUCACCAACAGACACACAGGUAUGGUCAGAAAUUGACCAUGCAUCUCCAACCAGUGAAUGUGUACCACCACUGGAAAGAACGGAGUGUAUUUGUUGCCUUCCUUCACAACAUGGG